rnacentral:lncRNA from 1 species
GAGAACAGCUGUCAAGCCCAUUUUUUUUUCCCUUUUUCUCAUCAAUCUAAAGCAAACAAUCAAAUAAAAACAAAAAGGGUUUUUGAAAUUCAGUAAGUAAUUUUCAGUUUUCGAUCAAUUUGGGAAAGGGCUCUUGUAAUGGUCCAUGACAUUACACAACUGUGAAUAACAGAUAACACAAAAACUCAUAAAAUUUGGAAAAGAGAAAGUGGAACCGGUUCAGAGACUUCCCAAAUUUUAUUUUCCUUAACUAACACGUGAGGAAAAUACAUUUUUCCCGGAUUUCAUGUGACUCUCAAGUCUAUAGUAUUAAUGGCUAAUUCAAUGUAGCAAACCCAAACUUUUAUGGGCGAAGAAAAAGAGUUUCUCUCUCCAAUCAAUUUCAUAAUCUUAUAUUAUAUAAUUAUAUUCCUUUACUAAAAUAAGGUAUCGUACGUCGGAGCCUUUGCAUCAACAGAGAAACUUAAUGGGAAGUAUUCUGGGUUGUUUUCCACGUCCAACUGAUUGGCAAUUUAUAGGCUCAUUAAUCAUCAAAACCGUGUGGGACUUAACCCAAAAAUCUAUGCCAUCUGUUCACAUGACACUGAAGUUCAGUUCCAUUCUCACACUGUAGCCAAGACUGACUCCAUUAAUUUGAUUUCGGAAUCAUCGGCCGCUGUAGUAAACUUUUUUGCUGUCAGAAUGAGUGGAAAGUGGUGGAAUGAAUACAAAUCUAAUCAACUCAUCAAAACUUGUUCGAAAGUUCUGGGCCACGUGCAUGCACGAGAGAUCUUUCACCGCCUCCAUUUGUUAUUGCCAACAGAAAGAGAGUUCAUUCCCCGAAUGAUCUGGCAAGUAGUAAUUAGCGGUUGAUAAGAAAGCAGUGGCGCUGCUGCCCCAAAAUUUAAGUUGAUUCUUACUCGGUGGAAAGGCCAGCUGACAGGGAAAAGUCUUAGC